ensembl:lncRNA
UAAAAAGUGAGAGAACAGGACCCUGAAAGUGAUCCAAGCUUGGUAAUAGCACCUCAAAGGAGAAUGAGCAUGAGGAUCUUUGCCUGCAGGAACAUUCUUCAACCAGUAUUAUAUAAACUGCAGAAGCUGACAGCUUGUCCAUUUUUGUCAAUGAAUCACCUGCUACGUCCUGUUUCCAUGGAGACCGGCACGUCCCCACCCGUCCCAUUUGGCUAUGACUAAGCAGUAACUGCUCAGUCGCUCUGGUCAAUCAUUGACGGGUAAGGGCUGUUUGUCUAAUCUUCAAAGUGUGCAUAAGGAAAAUUAAAAACCAAAUAACUUUCACAUAAUGUCACACUUGAACAAUCACUCAUAAUCACAUUACUGGUAUUUGGAGUCAAACUGGGAGUCUUUAAACCACUAACC